rnacentral:rRNA from 1 species
UAUGUUGGAAGGGUAACCGGAAGGCAUAUUUAGUGGCGAACGGGUGAGUAAUGCAUGAGAACGUAUCCUCAAGAGGGGGACAACAUUGGGAAACCGAUGCUAAUACCCCAUAAGCCGGGAGGUAAAAGGAGCAAUCCGCUUGAGGAGCGGUUCAUGUCCUAUCAGCUAGUUGGUGAGGUAACGGCUCACCAAGGCGAAGACGGGUAGCCGGCCUGAGAGGGUGAACGGCCACACUGGAACUGAGAGACGGUCCAGACUCCUACGGGAGGCAGCAGUGGGGAAUAUUGGGCAAUGGGGGAAACCCUGACCCAGCGACGCCGCGUGAGGGAAGAAGGCCUUAGGGUCGUAAACCUCUGUUGUGUGGGAAGAAGAGCGUGACGGUACCACACGAGGAAGUCCCGGCUAACUACGUGCCAGCAGCCGCGGUAAUACGUAGGGGACGAGCGUUGUCCGGAUUUACU